rnacentral:rRNA from 1 species
UAAUGGCUCACCAAGGCGACGAUCCCUAGCUGGUCUGAGAGGAUGAUCAGCCACACUGGAACUGAGACACGGUCCAGACUCCUACGGGAGGCAGCAGUGGGGAAUAUUGCACAAUGGGCGCAAGCCUGAUGCAGCCAUGCCGCGUGUGUGAAGAAGGCCUUCGGGUUGUAAAGCACUUUCAGUCGUGAGGAAGGUGGUAUUGUUAAUAGCAUCUAUNUUUGACGUUAGCGACAGAAGAAGCACCGGCUAACUCCGUGCCAGCAGCCGCGGUAAUACGGAGGGUGCGAGCGUUAAUCGGAAUUACUGGGCGUAAAGCGCAUGCAGGUGGUUUGUUAAGUCAGAUGUGAAAGCCCGGGGCUCAACCUCGGAAUAGCAUUUGAAACUGGCAGACUAGAGUACUGUAGAGGGGGGUAGAAUUUCAGGUGU